rnacentral:rRNA from 1 species
UACAGAGGUCCCAAGCGUUGUUCGGAUUCACUGGGCGUAAAGGGUGCGUAGGUGGUGGGGUAAGUCGGAUGUGAAAUCUCCGAGCUCAACUCGGAAAUGGCAUUGGAAACUACCCUGCUAGAGGGUCGGAGGGGGGACUGGAAUGCUUGGUGUAGCAGUGAAAUGCGUAGAUAUCAAGCGGAACACCAGUGGCGAAGGCGAGUCCCUGGACGACUCCUGACACUGAGGCACGAAAGCUAGGGGAGCAAACAGG